rnacentral:rRNA from 1 species
GACGAACGCUGGCGGCGUGCCUAAUACAUGCAAGUCGAGCGAGCGGAACUAACAGAUUUACUUCGGUAAUGACGUUAGGAAAGCGAGCGGCGGAUGGGUGAGUAACACGUGGGGAACCUGCCCCAUAGUCUGGGAUACCACUUGGAAACAGGUGCUAAUACCGGAUAAGAAAGCAGAUCGCAUGAUCAGCUUUUAAAAGGCGGCGUAAGCUGUCGCUAUGGGAUGGCUCCGCGGUGCAUUAGCUAGUUGGUAAGGUAAAGGCUUACCAAGGCGAUGAUGCAUAGCCGAGUUGAGAGACUGAUCGGCCACAUUGGGACUGAGACACGGCCCAAACUCCUACGGGAGGCAGCAGUAGGGAAUCUUCCACAAUGGACGCAAGUCUGAUGGAGCAACGCCGCGUGAGUGAAGAAGGUUUUCGGAUCGUAAAGCUCUGUUGUUGGUGAAGAAGGAUAGAGGUAGUAACUGGCCUUUAUUUGACGGUAAUCAACCAGAAAGUCACGGCUAACUACGUG